ACGUUUUCAUCCAUUUUUUAGUCGUGGGUGCAAUAUUCAUUCGAGAUACUGCACUAGUCAGUAUUCAAAUUCGUGAAUUGUUAUUAAGUUCAAUAAAACUAACUUCCCCAAAUGCACGAGAACUAAUAUAUUUCAGAAAAACCGACGCAUCGCGGCCCUAAGAUUAAUUCUAAUUCGUCACAGGAUGGCGCGAUGAAGUCAAACUGUGACAUUCCCAGCUGCUCCAAACUUUUGAUAAAAACUCCAAUAAUAGACUAGAAUCAAACAAUGAUUAGAAUUCAGGUAGCGACACCUGAGGUUCAUUUGCAUUAGAAUAAAUGCAGUGUCUUUGGGGAAAAGAAAGACCGACCGGGUAGAACACAAUCCUGACCAGAACGAAUUCGAAAUAUAUCCCAGUGCGCAUCAGAUGUGUUCUAGUGCGUGCUAUUAUUCUUGAGAAAGGAAGAGAUUGAAUUGGGUUGGUGAUUAGCAUUAAAACACGUCUAGAUCAUAUUUACCACUCAUCAGAAUAAUGUCAAUUCCUAAAUAAAAAGCAAUAAAACAAAUACUAUCGUUAUGCACAAAUGCUUUUUUUUUCCAUUUUACAGUAAUGAGAACACAUUUCUGCACGGUGGUAAUGGUGAAUAUAUAAAUAGAAACAUGUCUCGGACAUGUUCUUGAGAUGCACCCUGCUUUUCAUUGUGACAGUUAUGCGUUUUGCACCGUGCAUACAGCUCCAGUUCUUCCUGACCUUCGAGAGUGCACUUUGGAUGAAACGUUUACUGAUGCCAAGCUGAGUUGCUCAGAGGAUGAAACAAAUCGACUGAACUGCUGCGUUCUGAACAACAGAGGCGAGAUUGUCUGCAGCCUGCUCUGAUCUGACGUUCCCUUUCCUGUGAUUCGUGGUGUUUGAAUCUGGAUGGAAUAAUAUGAGCGCAUCUGUUGCUGAGAUUCCCUGAGCGCUUCUUCAAUUGGCGAAGAGCUUCAGUGUUAUGAGAGUUUAAUAACCUUUUAUAUUCUGAUGUGUAUUGUAUUUACACCAUUCAUGAGAAUAAUAAGCUUGAGGGUGCUGGGUAAAUAUUAAGUGCCUGCAGACAGCAGAUGCAUCAGGUCUCACAAAGGCUUAUCACCUCCAAUUUUUCCCCUAUACUGGGGAUCGUGAUGCACUUCCAGAUCCAUUACAGUAUAGUGCUGUCUGAAAGAGGCUUUCUUCACAUUCACCUGCCACAAACAGUGCCCCGGAUUUAAAUGCAGUGCUUAAAAGUGCCUGUUUGUGCAUUUCCCAGUCAUUCUUUACAUAUUAGCGAUGUUGGUUUCAUUGUACAACAGGGCUAAUGCCCUAAAAAUGAUCUAAAAUAAUUGUAUAAUUAAUAAUACAUUAAUAGGAACACUUUACAAUAAGGCGUAUUUGUAAUGUUGACCAGAUUUUGAAUAAAUUUGGGUUUUUUUUGUAAUUUUACCACACAUAUUAUGUUUUUUUCAAUGCCUCUUUUCGCCGUUCACGCUAUUUCAGCUCAGCAAUUUGAGUCAAGCGCAGAGGCUUUCAAGCAAUUGCUGUCCCAGCCACAAAGAAGCCAACUUCUCCCUGCCGUACGGUCCAAUAAUAGCUUUCAGAGCUGCGUGUGCUGACACAAAAUAAGUUUUGCAGCCGGUUCGCUUUACUGAACAUCGCUCAAGACGGCUUGAAGCGCUCAUCAAAACAGAUUUUAUGUAUCGAGGGUUUUUGUGCAUGGGUGUAAUUUUGACAAAUCCCUUACAUCUACCGUCCUUCAAACCGCACGCUCGUGUUAGCCUGACAACUGCUGAUUUAUAAGCGUUACAUAUAUAAUUUAGAGUUAGUUCACCCCAAAAUAAAAAUUCUGUUAUUAAUUAUUCACUCUCAUGUCGUUCCAAGCCUGUAAGACCUUUGUUCGUCUUCAGAACGCAAAUUAAAUUUAUGCUGAAAUCCGAGCUGCUUUCUGACCCUCCGAAGACAGCAACUGAAAUGAUCCGGGUCCAGAAACGUAGU